GAUGAACGCUGGCGGCGUGCCUAAUACAUGCAAGUCGAGCGAACGGACGAGAAGCUUGCUUCUCUGAUGUUAGCGGCGGACGGGUGAGUAACACGUGGAUAACCUACCUAUAAGACUGGGAUAACUUCGGGAAACCGGAGCUAAUACCGGAUAAUAUUUUGAACCGCAUUGUUCAAAAGCGAAAGACGGUCUUGCUUUCACUUAUAGAUGGAUCCGCGCUGCAUUAGCUAGUUGGUAAGGUAACGGCUUACCAAGGCAACGAUGCAUAGCCGACCUGAGAGGGUGAUCGGCCACACUGGAACUGAGACACGGUCCAGACUCCUACGGGAGGCAGCAGUAGGGAAUCUUCCGCAAAGGGCGAAAGCCUGACGGAGCAACGCCGCGUGAGUGAUGAAGGUCUUCGGAUCGUAAAACUCUGUUAUUAGGGAAGAACAUAUGUGUAAGUAACUGUGCACAUCUUGACGGUACCUAAUCAGAAAGCCACGGCUAACUACGUG
rnacentral:rRNA from 1 species